AGGGGCAGCCACCAUCUCUGCAGAUUGAUCAACUCAGUUGUUCCAGCCUGAUGGCUUUAGAGAGUCCAAGUGGUCUGGGCAAGGAAGAGUCCCCCCAACACAGCACACCUGCUCUACCAAAAAGCAGCCAGAUGGUUUCUUUAAGUGAGUUCCUGAUCCCAUUGCUCCUGACUGGCUGAGACCUCCCAACAGGGGUCUCCAGACACCUUCUACAGGAGCGUUCAGGCUGACAACUGGUCACUGUUCAAUUGGGACAGAGCUUCCAGAGGAAGGAGCAGGCUACCAUCUUUGCUAUUUCAUAACCUUCGCUGGUGAUACCUCCAGGUGAAUGAAUGGAUACAUGGAUAUAUUUUGUUGUCGAUACAUAAUAAGUGGGUAAGUUCUCACAACAUCUGGUUGUUUAAAAGAGUGUGGCACCUCCCUGGCCCUACACCUUGCUCUUGCUCUGGCCAUGUGACCUACCUGCUCCUGCUUGCCUGCCAC